UAAAGGAUGGCCACAGUUCCACAAUAUCAGUGGUAGAAAGUUACACAGCUGUUGUUUGGUGGUGUGUUUGGAAUUUUAUUGUGAAACCCAUCGUUUAGUUUAUUUUUCUGCCUUUUGAAAUUUCUCCACUUUGAGACUUAAAAAAAGAAAGAAAGUAUGACAACUAAAGACAAAGAAGCAAAAGUGUGAACAACACCUGUUUAAGCCUUCAGCAGUCAAAGAUAAUAUAUUUAUGGAAAAAAACUCAGGGUGGUGCACAUAAGGUUUCUAAGUCAUCUGCCAGCUUGGAAAAUGGACCCAUACUGACCCUUGGUAUACCUGCCAAUCAGAGGAAAAGGUGUGAGGGAGCCACAAGAAUUAGAAAAAAGGUGUGAGGGAAAAGGUGUGAGGGACCUCAGUAGGAAAGCCCCCACGUCACUUAGGGCAGGGACAUCUUGCCUGCCUAAAGUGGCCAUUUCCAGGAGCAGGAAGUUGUAUUUCCCUAAAGUCAUCUGUGGCUUGUUCCCCAAGGAACAAGCUAGAGCAAGGGCAGCAACUGGAUUAUUUGGACCAAU